rnacentral:rRNA from 1 species
UACGUAGGGUGCAAGCGUUGUCCGGAUUUAUUGGGCGUAAAGAGCGUGUAGGCGGCCAGACAGGUCCGUUGUGAAAACUAGAGGCUUAACCUCUAGACGUCGAUGGAAACCGUUUGGCUAGAGUCCGGAAGAGGAGAAUGGAAUUCCUGGUGUAGCGGUGAAAUGCGCAGAUAUCAGGAAGAACACCCGUGGCUAAGGCGGUUCUCUAGUACGGUACUGACGCUGAGACGCGAAAGCGUGGGGAGCGAACAGG